GUCUUUUUGAGUUAUUUUAAAAGUCUGACCUGCCCACUGAAAUAUUUAAAUGGCCGCAGUAUUUUAACUGUGCAAAGGUAGCAUAAUCAUUAGUCUUUUAAUUGAAGGCUGGUAUGAACGGUUGGACGAAGUAUAGACUGUUUCAUGUAAAUUUGUUAUAGAAUUUUAUAUUUUAGUUAAAAAGCUAAAAUAUAAUUAAAAGACGAGAAGACCCUAUAAAUCUUUAUAUUUUAUAUAUUUUAAGUUUUUUAGAUAUAUUUUAUUUUUAUUAUAUUAAGUAUUUUGUUGGGGUGAUGUUAAAAUUUAAUUAACUUUUAAUUAUUUUAAAUCAUUAAUUUAUGAAUUAUUGAUCCAUUAGUAGUGAUUAUAAGAUUAAGUUACUUUAGGGAUAACAGCGUAAUUUUUUUGGAGAGUUCAUAUCGAUAAAAAAGUUUGCGACCUCGAUGUUGGAUUAAGAUAUAAUUUUAGGUGUAGUCGCUUAAAUGUUAAGUCUGUUCGACUUUUAAAUUCUU
rnacentral:rRNA from 1 species